AAAAACACUAUUUAUGUGGUCAUGAAAAAUAAAUAGAGAUAUCUAUGAUCCUUAGUUAACUAAGCGAAUGCUUAUUGAAUGUCUGUUUCUUUAUUGGUUUUAAUUAACACUUUUAUACAGGUGCUGUGAUGGGACCACGUAUGAAAGUCACUGUUAUUAAAAAUCUGUUAAACUCUCGGAUUAAAAGACUGAUGGAAGAGGUGAUGGAACUUCAGCAAGAAUUGAGAAAACUGGCAGACUUUCAAGCAACUAAACUGUGAAUGAGAGAAACAUCCAUAAGCUCAAUCCAUGAAGGAAAAAGACUACAAUCGGGUUCUAAAUACAACUGAAAGAAAUUCCAGGUUUUAUGGUGAUUUAUCUUUUAUUUAUUCAUUUACUCAGCAAUCUUUCUCCUUAUUAAAAAGAGAAUAUAGGUAUUAAAAUGUUUGAACAGAUUUAAUAGUUUUAUGUAAAAAUAUUUACAAACCUUGAAAUGCCUUCUGUAAUGUCACAUUAUUAAUAACAAUGACUGUAAUUACAAUUAUCUGUGAUCGAGCAUGAUUUCUUAUUGGGUUUAUUGCUUGUGAAUGGUAUUCUUGAAAUGAAUUUCAGAUGAAUAAAAGAAUCACUGAACUUGCAUAUGAAAAAUACUGCUAUAAGCGUUAAGGGACACUAUGUGAUUUUCAUUUAUUAAUUGUUUUCAGUAUUGGGUUCCAUGUAGUUUUGGUUGUGCUGAUUAAAUGUCAAUCUAAUAAUAAACAGUAAAUGAAGGAACGUGUGAAA